rnacentral:rRNA from 1 species
GUGGGGAAUAUUGGACAAUGGGCGAAAGCCUGAUCCAGCCAUGCCGCGUGUGUGAAGAAGGUCUUCGGAUUGUAAAGCACUUUAAGUUGGGAGGAAGGGCAGUAAGUUAAUACCUUGCUGUUUUGACGUUACCGACAGAAUAAGCACCGGCUAACUUCGUGCCAGCAGCCGCGGUAAUACGAAGGGUGCAAGCGUUAAUCGGAAUUACUGGGCGUAAAGCGCGCGUAGGUGGUUUUGUAAGUUGGAGGUGAAAUCCCCGGGCUCAACCUGGGAACUGCCUCCAAAACUGCAUGACUAGAGUACGGUAGAGGGUAGUGGAAUUUCCUGUGUAGCGGUGAAAUGCGUAGAUAUGCGGAGGAACACCAGUGGCGAAGGCGACUACCUGGACUGAUACUGACACUGAGGUGCGAAAGCGUGGGGAGCAAACAGGAUUAGAAACCCUGGUAGUCC